GCCCGGGUGGCGGAACAGGCAGACGCACAGGACUUAAAAUCCUGCGGUGGCAACACCGUGCCGGUUCGACCCCGGCCCCGGGCACCA
rnacentral:tRNA from 2 species